rnacentral:lncRNA from 1 species
ACUUCAGCCCACUUGCUUUUGGAAAAUGACUCUGCGUGUUAUUAUGUUUUGCAAGACAUCAAAGGAUGUGGAAAAUCCAUUAUAAAUACCAGGGAGGUAUCUGACAGGCACCACAACCUGAGCAUGUGUAGAUGGACGCUGGUUUCUUCUGCUCUCUGCCUCAUCUCAGGUCCGGCCCUGCCACCUGUCCAGGGGCUUAGCCCAGAACCCCAGAAUCUGCUUUGAUGCCCCCGGGUCUGCAGGCAGACUUUGCUCUCGAAGGCACCUGAGUCUCACCUCCUUGGCCGUCAGCUUGGCACAAGUUACCCUGGCUGCUCCCCAGACUGUUCCCAUGGCCUGGCCCUGGCCGGGGACUCCCACUCUGCUUGCGGUCCUGAAGACAGCCAGAGAGGCCUUUGAGAGUGGAAGGCAGACACCAUAUGCCACCGCCCCCAGCUGACACUCAUAGGGGCUGCCCCUCAUGCUCUGGAUAAAACUCCGACUGGCUACUGUGCCUCUUUGGGUCUCCCCGGCCCAGGCCUGGCCAGGGGUUCCAGCCUUCACCAGGGGAAGGAGCAUCUGUGAGUCCAGGGAGUGUGCCUGGCCCAAUGCCUCUGCCCAGGGCCUUUGUGCCUGCCGUCCCCUCCCCAAUUCCACGCCUCCUGUUGCCCUCCGCAGAGGCACCUCUCCCGUGACCUCCAAGCACACCACCCACUAAAUCUCCGCCCUUCCUCUGCCUGCCUGCCCUCCCAGCACAGCCACUCUGUCCGCUCAGGCUCCUGAGCUGCUUACUUGUUCACCUGUCUUCUGCUGGAGACCAGGGAGCCCUCCCCUCGCUGGCUGUGGGGUCUGGGAACAAAGCAGUCUUAAUAAAUACUUCUCGAAAGAAUGGA